CGCGUCCCCGCUCUCGGCUGCCGCUCGCUCGCCGCCCGCCAGCCCGCGCUCCCCCGCGGUCUCCUCUCCCUCUGUCGGUGUGCGAGCGAGUCUCCCUCCCUCUAAUGCAGGAAAUGCGCAAAAGACGUCAGUGUGUGUGAGUGUGUGUGUGUGAGUGUGUGUGUGUGCACGCGCGCGCGCGCACGGCAGUGUUUGGGGAAAUAGAAAGUUUUGCCGGUUGGGGGAGCAAUACGGAAAAAGUGAGCCGAGGAGACAACGGCUGCGAGAACUUGUUGACAAGUGAAAGCUCGGUAGAGCCCCGGCUUGGUUUGUGGUCUGCUUAUUUUUUGCAAAGUGACUGUUCCUGUUUGCGCUGGUCCUUAUCGGUGCCCCUUUGGGGGACUUCGGCACUGAUCAGCGCGCUGACAGCCGCCGUCCGGGCUGCGGGAAAAUGGGGCGCGCCCUCCGGGGGGCGAGUGGCUGUGUCCUUGCUAAUUUCCUCCGUAACCUUUAAACUCUCGCUGGAAGCUACCGCCGCGGCUGGUCACGUGAGGAGAGCCCUGGGCUGCUGGGGAAAAAUUUCCUCGGCUGGGAGCCGGGACCGGGCCGGCGGCCGGCGAGGGACUGCCCCGCGCCCGAGACUGGGAACCUGGGAGGGCAGGGCCGGAGCGCUGGGCCCCGGGGCGCGGCCCAGCUGGGACACCCGCGAAGACGGCGGCGGUGAAGAGGUCGGCUCCGCUGCCGGGGAGCUGGGGAUUAUGCAAAUGGGGAAAGAAAACCUCCGCCCUCGCCCUUCUGCCAAGUCAAGUCUGGGAAUUUGGCAUGUGAUGGAAGGCAGUGGCAAAUAUGGCUUGAUCUUCUGAAAAUGCAUUUGGGAAGCAGAGCCAGCACCAAAGUGAGAUGAGUGAGAUACUUUUCAGAGGCAAAAUGUAAAGGGUACCAAUAAACGUAAUCAAGAUAAAGAUUUAAUACAAUUUUUUAAAAAUAAAAAUGUGAGAAUCCAGAAUGGACACAAUAUCCACAUUUUAAAUAAUUUUAAAUAUUGCACUAAAAUAUUUAUACUACUGAGUUUAUUGGCACCUGUUAAAUUUUGUACCUGAGCCGAGUGCGUCACUCAUCUCACCCUAGUCCUGAUCCUGUUGGGAAGUCUGGAAAGUCAAGGAUUUCAUGGAGUUAGGGAUCCUUGACUAAUUGGUGCUUCAUAUGUUCUCAUUACUUGCUUUGGGUAAGUCUUGUACAGGCAGGAGCCACCAUGCCCAGCCCCCAAAUAUAUUAAAUAGGGUCUGUUACCAUCUCAGUGACUGUCUUAAAACAACCUACAAACUUCCAGCACCAUUUCCUAGCAUGCUGGCUCAGCAGACUGUUACUCCGUGUAAAUCACCAGACUGCAAUUCUCAAGGGCGACCAAUGCUUGUCUCCUUUCCAUUACAGCAACUCUUUUGGAGCAAGGGUAAUAAAAGACUUUGUCAAACAAAAUACAUGUUUUGUAUUGGAUUAAUGUUUACAUAAAAAGGGAGAAUGCUGGUAGUCUGCAUGCAAACACUGCUAGUUUCCUGCCCUUAUUACCUCCUUAUUUCUAAAUAAAUCUCUCGCCUUCCUACUCUCAAACUUGGCCAAAUGAAAAGUUGAAUUCCCCAGG
rnacentral:lncRNA from 1 species